rnacentral:lncRNA from 1 species
GGAAGUAAAGGGCAUUACAAUUUAUCCCUAAAGGGCAAAGUUUUUACUCUAGUAUUUGGGAUUAUGCUUUUAUUUUUAUUCCUUUUUUUUCUUUUAGAUCUAGAUUUGCAUUAGCUUUUUAUAAGAUCUAGAAUUUUAGCUAUUGCUAUGUUUAAAUUUACUCUUCCUUUUGAUCUUCAUUACAUUCCCUUCUUUUAUCAUGCCAUAUCGUUAUUGAUCAAAGAAUAUGUCACUUAAGGCUGUUAAUACUACUCCAUUGAAUUAAGUUUUUAGUGCUGUAGGGUGUGAUCAUAUUAGUGUUGCAUUCAUCCUUGAUGUAUUGCCAUCUCCAACUUUUGUGGGAUAUAAUUAUAUAGCUUCUCUUGUUCUUAGUGUUUUGCCAUCUUUUGUUAAUGUGGAGUGUGUUCAUGAUAUUAAUUGAAGAGUUGUGGAUAAUGCAAUCUAAUUCUUAGAGAAUGUUUGAGGAUCAAAUUUAUAAGAAGACAAUAUUUACAAGCUUGAAUGGAUUUUAAAUUGUGAUGAGAAGCUUAAUUAUUAUGGAGAUAGCUUUAAAGAUAAGUUGAAAUUUUUGUAAAGUAGGUGUUAAUCCUUCAAUCUAUCAUCUG